rnacentral:rRNA from 1 species
AUUGAACGCUGGCGGCAGGCCUAACACAUGCAAGUCGAACGAGUGGCGGACGGGUGAGUAAUGUCUGGGAAACUGCCUGAUGGAGGGGGAUAACUACUGGAAACGGUAGCUAAUACCGCAUACCAUCAGAUGUGCCCAGAUGGGAUUAGCUAGGUGGUGGGGUAACGGCUCACCAAGGCGACGAUCCCUAGCUGGUCUGAGAGGAUGACCAGCCAAACUGGAACUGGGACACGGUCCAGACGCCUACGGGAGGCAGCAGUGGGGAAUAAUGCACAAUGGGCGCAAGACUGAUGCAGCGCGGCAGCGUGUAUGGAGAAGGCCUUCGGGUUGUAAAGGACUUUCAGCGGAGAGGCGUUACCCGCAGAAGAAGCACCGGCUAACUACGUGCCAGCAGCCGCGGUAAUAC